rnacentral:rRNA from 1 species
GACGAACGCUGGCGGCGUGCUUAACACAUGCAAGUCGAACGGAAAGGCCCUGCUUGCAGGGUACUCGAGUGGCGAACGGGUGAGUAACACGUGGGUGAUCUGCCCUGCACUUCGGGAUAAGCCUGGGAAACUGGGUCUAAUACCGGAUAGGAGCCAUUUUUAGUGUGAUGGUUGGAAAGUUUUUUCGGUGUAGGAUGAGCUCGCGGCCUAUCAGCUUGUUGGUGGGGUAAUGGCCUACCAAGGCGGCGACGGGUAGCCGGCCUGAGAGGGUGGACGGCCACAUUGGGACUGAGAUACGGCCCAGACUCCUACGGGAGGCAGCGGUGGGGAAUAUUGCACAAUGGGCGCAAGCCUGAUGCAGCGACGCCGCGUGGGGGAUGACGGCCUUCGGGUUGUAAACUCCUUUCGCUAGGGACGAAGCUUUUUGUGACGGUACCUAGAUAAGAAGCACCGGCUAACUACGU